rnacentral:rRNA from 1 species
GGAUUCCCCUAGUAACGGCGAGUGAAGCGGGAUGAGCUCAAGCUUAAAAUCUCUGUCACAAAUUUAUUUUGUGCGGCGAAUUGUAGUCUAUAGAAGCGUGGUCAGUGUAGGCGCUUGGGUUAAGUUCCUUGAAAAAGGACAGCAUCGAGGGUGAUACUCCCGUUUGUACCUAAGUGUCUUAUGCGUACGACCCGUUUUCUUUGAGUCGCGUUGUUUGAGAAUGCAGCGCAAAGUAGGUGGUAAAUUCCAUCUAAAGCUAAAUAUUGGUGCGAGACCGAUAGCGAACAAGUACCGUGAGGGAAAGAUGAAAAGAACUUUGAAAAGAGAGUUAAAGAGUACCUGAAACUGCUGAAAGGGAACCGGAUCGUUUCUAGUGUCUAUAAUCCGUGACAUAUUUCAUUGGCGGGCGUGUGCGUAUGUGUACUAUGGCAGCGGCUAAUUGGCUGCGCUUGGUGUGCGUGCUGUGUGUGCUUACUGGUGCCCUGUGUUAUGGUGGGACGUCAAGGUCAGUUCGUAUGCUGCGGGAAAUGGCUGCUGAGGAGUUAGGGCUUACGCUUGCGUUUGUCUGUUAUAUCUUGGUGGUUUUGUCGUGGUUGGGACUGAGGUGUUCUACAACGUGCUCUUGAGUAGGUCUGCGUCUCCGUGUGCACCGUGUGCAGAUAGCUUGCUAUGUGUGUGUGGUUGUGUGUGGAUUGAUGCGGGCUUGAACUUGUUGCCGUUCGGGACUUUGACGAAAUAGAGCGAUUUGACCCGUCUUGAAACACGGACCAAGGAGUCUAACAUAUGUGCAAGUGUUAGGGUGUGGAAACCCCAGCGCGAAAUUAACGUAAAGGAUAGCGUAAGCUGUCUUAGGUAGGAAACGUUGCGGAUUUCGGUCUGUGGCGUGGCACUAUCGACCGAUCAUGAACCUUCGUGGUGAAAGAUUUGAGUUUGAGCACAUAUGUUGGUACCCGAAAGAUGGUGAACUAUGCCUGAGUAGGGUGAAGCCA